GUUUGUUCUCAGGGCGGGGUGAAAAUCCCCACCGGCGGUAUCCGGAGCGAUCCGGGAGCCCGCGAGCGCUUCCACCGAUGUGGAAGGUCAGCAGACCCGGUGAGAGGCCGGGGCCGACGGUUAUAGUCCGGAUGGAAGAGGACAAUG
rnacentral:ncRNA from 1 species